rnacentral:tRNA from 1 species
CGGGGUGUAGCGUAGCCUGGUAGCGCACUAGCAUGGGGUGCUAGGGGUCGUUGGUUCGAAUCCAAUCACCCCGACCA